AACGAACGCUGGCGGCAUGCCUAACACAUGUAAGUCGAACGAGACCUUCGGGUCUAGUGGCGCACGGGUGCGUAACGCGUGGGAACCUGCCCUUAGGUUAGGAAUAACUCCCCGAAAGGGGUGCUAAUACCGGAUAAUGUCUUCGGACCAAAGAUUUAUCGCCUUUGGAUGGGCCCGCGUUGGAUUAGCUAGUUGGUAGGGUAAAAGCCUACCAAGGCGACGAUCCAUAGCUGGUCUGAGAGGAUGAUCAGCCACACUGGGACUGAGACACGGCCCAGACUCCUACGGGAGGCAGCAGUGGGGAAUAUUGGACAAUGGGCGAAAGCCUGAUCCAGCAAUGCCGCGUGAGUGAUGAAGGCCUUAGGGUUGUAAAGCUCUUUUACCCGGGAUGAUAAUGACAGUACCGGGAGAAUAAGCUCCGGCUAACUCCGUG
rnacentral:rRNA from 1 species